rnacentral:pre_miRNA from 1 species
UGUCUGAUUCUUUGACUCUUUGUCUAACUCUUUGACUCUUUGUCUGAUUCUGGUCAAAGAGUCAGACAAUAGGUCAAAGAGUCAGACA